GAAGCUCAAAGCCGCACUGGAAACACAGUCUUUCAGGAUGUCUGAAAGGGGCAAGUCUGUUUGUGUGGGGCUGGGGAGCUGUGCUUUGGAAAAGCAAUGAGGAGGUAACAGGAAGUCUCUUCUCCUUCUAAAUCCUGUGUUCAUGGAGGAGGGUGGGUUUUCUCCUCUUGAGAGGGAGUUACAUACAAGUUUAAGGGAAAAGAGUCUGAAGUUUCCACCUAAAUGAUUCUGAAAGAAUCAGAUAUACAGGGAGUCCACGGAGCCUCCCCUGCAAGCAUCAGUACAGAAGUCGAUGAUAAUCUGGAUGCAAGCCCAGGAGUGUGGAGUCCACUGACUCAGAAGACCUGCAUCUAAGGAAUUGGCUGUUCUUAUCCUUAAGAAUGAUGACUGUGUUUCCAAUUCCAGUAGACCCUUUGAUGCGUUCUGAAUAAAUAUUCCUUUUGGAAUUGAACUUCUAGAGCCCUUA
rnacentral:lncRNA from 1 species